rnacentral:rRNA from 1 species
GUAUGAAGAAGGCCUUCGGGUUGUAAAGUACUUUCAGCGGGGAGGAAGGGAGUAAAGUUAAUACCUUUGCUCAUUGACGUUACCCGCAGAAGAAGCACCGGCUAACUCCGUGCCAGCAGCCGCGGUAAUACGGAGGGUGCAAGCGUUAAUCGGAAUUACUGGGCGUAAAGCGCAUGCAGGCGGUUUGUUAAGUCAGAUGUGAAAUCCCCGGGCUCAACCUGGGAACUGCAUCUGAUACUGGCAAGCUUGAGUCUCGUAGAGGGGGGUAGAAUUCCAGGUGUAGCGGUGAAAUGCGUAGAGAUCUGGAGGAAUACCGGUGGCGAAGGCGGCCCCCUGGACGAAGACUGAC